UACGGAGGGUGCAAGCGUUACUCGGAUUUACUGGGCGUAAAGCGCAUGUAGGCGGUUAGGUAAGUCUGUUGUGAAAUCCCGGAGCUCAACUCCGGAAGUGCAGUGGAUACUGCUUAACUAGAAUUCAGGAGAGGAGGGUGGAAUUCCUGGUGUAGAGGUGAAAUUCGUAGAUAUCAGGAGGAACACCAGUGGCGAAGGCGGCCCUCUGGACUGACAUUGACGCUGAGAUGCGAAAGCGUGGGUAGCAAACAGG
rnacentral:rRNA from 1 species